AUUCCCGGACUAUGGAAAGUGGGUGGUUCUCUGUUGAUAACAAGUACAAACCCAGGGGACGAGGCAAUGGUUCUGCGAAUUACGGAAAUGGGAAUGUUGACGGAUUAAAUGAACUGAACAGGGGCCCAAGAGCAAAGAGCUUUAAGAAUCAAAAAGGUGCUGUUCCUGCUGCUGUAGCUGUAAACGGACAGGACAACCUUGUCACUGGGACUAAUGGAAGUACUGAGGACAGUAGGGUGGAUAAAGAGAACGGACAAUACAACAGAGCUGAUUUUCCUAUAACAUAUGCUGAUGCCAAGUUUUUUAUUAUAAAGUCUUACAGUGAAGACGAUGUUCAUAAGAGUGUCAAGUACAAUGUGUGGUCAAGUACACAAAAUGGAAACAAGAAGCUUGAUGCAGCGUACCAUGAAGCGCAGCAGAAUUCUGGCCACUGCCCCGUCUUUCUGCUUUUCUCGGUGAGCUCUCUGGAUACAAACUUACUUUUUACUGGAACAUGAAUUGUAUUCAUAUAUUUAUGUCAGUAUUCUUCUUCUGAAAUGUCCAGGUUAAUACUAGUGGACAAUUUCUUGGUGUUGCGGAGAUGUCAGGGCCAGUUGAUUUUGACAAGAAUCUUGAGUAUUGGCAACAAGACAAGUGGGUUGGCUGUUUCCCCGUAAAGUGGCACAUUGUGAAGGAUGUGCCUAACAGUGUGUUGAAGCACAUUACCCUUGAGAACAAUGAGAACAAACCUGUAACCAACAGCAGGGAUACCCAAGAGGUGGGUGGUUUUCAUAGUUCGUUUCUUUAUAUAUCUACUGUGGAAAUCGUACUCAUGGAAAUGAUUUAAUGUCUGCAGGUAAAAUUGGAGCAGGGACUUCAAUUGCUCAAAAUAUUUCAGGAUUAUACUAGUGAACGAACCCUGCUGGAUGAUUUUGAUUUCUACGAGGAGCGUCAAAAGAGGAUCCAGGAUAGAAAAUCUAAGCAACAGUUGAUUCAGAAACAGGUAUGACUUACAUAUUUACAUGUAUUUUAUAUUGAUAUCAUCUUUGAAGUCGGUCUUCUCUUAUAAAUUAUUAUUUUGAAAUGAAAAUAAAAAUUACUCAACUUCAUGCUCUGACCUCUUGACCUUGCAUAUGUUGUAUCCGCAGUUGGUGGAAGGAAAGCCUACUGAUGAAGCUACCAAAGAGGGCUCAAAUGUAGAAGUGACAACUGAAAAGUCGGUAGAUGUUCCUUCAAACUUAACAAAAAGUUCUACCCGGUCUGUUUUUGCUAUUGGGGAUGCAAAGGUUGAAAAUGUUGCAGCUGUUGAAGCUCAAGAGGUUAGUAAACCAGUAACAGUGACAGCGAAGGAAUUGGUGUCUAAUGGGGUUGCCAACGGUUGCUAAAUUUGCAAUGCACAGAGAUGGUCAGGCUACAUUGCUGAACUUAAGGUUACCCUUUGUAGUCUGGUGUCUUUGUAACCUUGUGAUUUUGCAACAUAUACAGUGCGCAAGUGGUCGGUGAAAGUUUGGUUUUUGUGUCGUAGGCAGACUUAUGAUAUAUCAUCAGUACUCAGUACAAGUCUCUUUUCUCUGUUAUUUUUCUUUUUUUAUAGAAAAGAUUUUGUCUUUGUGACGGAUCAGUUUGAUUCUAUUUUGGAGUUUUUUUUGUCUAGUCUCAGUGUGGUGCUGUUGCUUCUAUGACUUCUAUGUUUCAGAGUUUUUCAUUAAUGAGGGUUGUUAAGAGUAAAUUGAUUUAGUUAAUGCUGAACUGAUACUACCAGACUACCAGUACUUGAUUACUUUCCGAAGCCCUUAUUUAUGUAGGAUUGUGUGUCACAUUGCUAGAACAAUUUUACAUGAUGCCAACUUUUAGAGGCUGUUUAUUUAGGGGAAUUUCAGGCUAGUUAGAAGGAAUUAGAUAGUGAUGACUGUAGUUAGGUGGUUGUGUUAAAGGAAUGAGAAUUUGAGUCCAGUUAACAUGAGUCUUUUGCAUUCUAUUUUUCAUCUAUAUUUUCGUCAAAACCUUUCCCUGGCUUCUUCUGCAUCCAAUAUUUAGUGUCUGUUGAUCUUCUCAUGGUAUCUGUAAGUUCUAUCCGCAAGUUUUUGAGUUCAUCUCUGACAUUUAUAUUAUUGUUAGUAAAUAUCGUAUGUGUCUGAAGUUGUAUAUUUAUGUGCAAAAUUGUGUAUGUAUAUGUGUUUUCUGGUCAUGGUGUAUUGUUUCAUCUUAAAAUAUAUAUAGAGGGUAAUACAAAAUGAUAAAUGGUAAUCUGCAUUCCUCUAUUCAUGUGUACUAAAAAUUGUCUUGUUGAGUAAAAUAAGUUUUUGUGUAUGCCCAUCCGCCUAUUUGAUGAUAGUCCUUGAGAAGCCUUUUGCAGACAGAUAUAUUAAAUAUUUUUUUUUAAUUAAGUACUCUGUAGUCAAAUGUGACGAGUUAAUGCAUUAUGUUCUCUUUGCGAUGUCCCUGUUAUAAUGACAAUUCUGUUCUCAAAUGUCAAUCUUGACAGGGUCUUUUUUGUGUGUAUGUUGCUGGUUUAUAUUGUAGAGUCUUUAGAAGGGCAGGUAGAACCUUUUGCUAUUGUACCAAUGUGAAUUCUCUUAACAAUAUGAUAACAAGAAUGACCUGCUUUUGAAAAGAAGGCUGUUGCCAUUGAGAGAGGUUUAUUGCCUUAAUCUGCUAAUGCUAACUCAGGGACAUCAAUAGUAGGUCAGAAUUCAAUUGUGGAAGUUGCCAAUACAGUUGAACAAUGCAGCAGAACUUGUUUCCUAGUAUGUAAGUUGUGGACCGCUGAAGAAGAGGGAAGUCUCAAGGUUCCCCGGCUAGAUUUAUAUCUGCCUGAUGCUGUCGAGAGAGUGUUUGAAGAUAUGAUUUCGACUAUAGUUUUGAAUCUUUUGAUGAGUAGCAAUGAUUCAUAUGAGGCUGAUAAUAGGUGCAUGAUACUAUUGGAGUUUUUGCCGUCUUAUGUUUAUUCUUGUUGAUUUUAUGUUUAUUCUUGUUGAUUCGGGCCAAAAAAAAAAUGGUUUGUUCUUGUUGAGAGUGUAGUGUAAGAAGUGCAAGUUCAUGUAAGCUUCUGCUUUUUCAAAGCAGUUCCAAGUGCCUGGAUAGGCAGAUAUGUAUGCUAGCUUCUUUUUUUUUCUUUCCCCGGGUCGGGUUUCUGGUUUGCUGCUGGGAUGAAAUUCCUGGGUUCAGCUUAAUAUGUAUAAAAUGAACAUGUACUGAUCUCGCAAGCGACCAUAUGCCGAGAAGUUCCAGUAUUUUAAAAAUAUGCUAAUAAUCAUCUAAGAACCGAAGCUUCUGAGCAAAUGUAUGACCACUAAUAGGGUUCAAAAUGGGGCGGGACUUCAUUUCUCAACCUCGCCACAUAUAUAUCUUCGCUGCCCUGCCCUAUCCCCCGUGAGGAUAUAAUUUUUAUCUCUAUCCCACCAGGUUUUUCAUUUCUCAACCUCGCCACAUAUAUAUUUUCGCUGCCCUGCCCUAUCCCCCGCGAGGAUAUAAUUUUUAUCCCUAUCCCACCAGGUUUUUAAAAUAUUUUUGCGAAACGGCCUCGUCCUGCCUCGCUCUGCUCAUAUUUAUUUUAGAUAAUUGCUUAAAAUGAUAGUAAUUUUUUUGAGAAAUAAUAAAAAUAUACAAUACAUGUAUACUAGAAAUAUGUUCAUGUCACUUAGCCAAAAAAUAAAUAUAUUCAUGCAUGUUAAAUUAGAAUAACAAUAUAAUCAAGCAUAAUAAUUUUAAUAUAUAUAUAUAUAUAUAUAUAUGUAUGUAUGUAUAUAUGUAUGUAUGUAAAUGUAUGUAUGUAUAUAUGUAUGUAUGUAAAUGUAUGUAUGUAUAUAUAAAUCUAUUACAAAUAUUAUUUUUAAAUACAUAUAGUUUAAAAUUAUAUUUAUAUUGUCAUUCGUAAAUGUAUGUAUGUAUAUAUAAAUCUAUUACAAAUAUUAUUUUUAAAUACAUAUAGUUUAAAAUUAUAUUUAUAUUGUCAUUCAAAAGUAUAUUUUUUGAAUGUAUAAAUUACACAAACCACUCGAACCGUACCACACCGCACCGCAAUUUUUUGGUGUGGUUUACGUGGUUUUUAUAUUACAUGGUGUGGUUGCGGUUUACGAAUUUUCUCAAACCGUAUGAGCGGGUUGGUUCACGGUUUUUAAAAAAAACCGCACAGCCCGCACCUUGAACACCCCUAGCGUGAAUGGGAAAAAUGCCUUCAGAUCCACAAUUUAAAUACACAAUGCCCCAAAUGUCUCUGCCUAGGAAAAACGCCCACACUAUCACUUCAAAACACAACUUCAAGUUGCGUUUUACAUUUUUCAAUAAAACGCAACAUGAAGUCACGUUUUGGCGUUUUCUUUAUUUAAAUAAACAUAAACGUACACGAAAUUACGUUUUAAUGACUAGAAACGUAACACGAAAUUACGUUUUAGGUAUUUAUUUAUAAAAAUAUUUGAUAUGAUAAGUGAAAGUGAAAAACAAGGUCUUCAUAAGCAACCAUAAUGGCUGUUAGAGGGGUUCAAAAUUACGAUAGUAGAGUGUGGUUUAAGCGAGAUUGAGUUAACGGGUGGCGGAUUUACAUGGGAAAAGAGCAGAGGUACAAAAGAUUGGGUAAGGGAAAGAUUGGAUCGUGCUUUCGCUUCGUUUAGAUGGUGGCAAAUAUUCCCUCUGUGUAUUCUAGCUAUGCACCACACUAUCUACUCGGAUCACGACCCAAUUUAGUUGGAGCUGGUAGGUGAUACUCAUUCAAAAAAAAUAAUUCCGUUUUCGUUUUGAAAACACUUGGCUUAAGGAAAAGUCUUUUCACGAGGAGGUCUCAAUGUACUGGUCGAGAUUAGGCUCGAUUCACUUCUUACCAAAAAUCCUGGACCUCUCCUCAUUUAUGGAGAAAUGGAGUCGAAGGUUCUUUAACGAAUUCCGAGAGAAAAUUCGAAAACAAAAGGAAGUUUUGAGUUUAUUUGAAGGUUGUGAAAAUGACGAGCAGACAAAGAAAUACUUUGAGGAGAGAAGUAAAUCGGAGGACUUGUUAAUUCAUGAAGAAGCAUAUUGGAAACAACGAGCGAAGUCUUUUUCGUUAACGGAAGGUGACUCUAAUUCUAAAUUCUUUCACGCCUAUGCUACUACGAGGAAAUAAAGAAGUAAUAUUACUCAGUUAGUGAAUGAUGAUGGUGAGAUAAUGACUGAUCAAGAAGGUAUGUGUAGUGUGGUUAAGAACUACUUUGAACAACUAUUUGGUCAAGCAGGUAAUAGUCAAGAUGCGGGAAAUAUCAACACUGAAGUAGUAGUUUCAGAAGAGCUGAAUAACAGACUGACUGAGAAGUUCACGUUCGAGAAAUUUUCCACAGCUGUUAGACAAAUGCAACCUGAUAAAUGCAAGAUCUGACAGUCUCAAUCUGAACAUUCCAAAUGUGAUUAUUGAGUCCGAUUCAAUGCUUACUGUGCAGGCCAUUAAUAAGAACUCAGAAAAUUUGCUGGAGGUAAGAAAUGUGUUGCACGAAUGUUCCUCUCUUCUUAGCACUCAGCAGGACAUUAGCUUCUCGUUUGUUAGAAAGAAGGCCAAAAACGUAGCCCAUAUGCUAGCUAAGGUUCCGUGUGAGGUCAAUUGCUAUAAUGAAUUUUAUUCUCCUCCACAUUCUAUGUUGGAGACUCUCUUGUAUGAAGCAGCUUUGAAUUAAUAUAUUCCCCCAUUUUCAAAAAAAGGGAUUGAAGUUCCCAAAACCCUCGAGGCCCUAAACCCUCAAUCCCAAACACUAAUUAAUUCGAAGUUUUAGGGCCGUGAGGCCUAAAGCUUCGGAACAAAAUUAAAAAAUCAAUUUUAAAACAUACAUUAUUAGUUUUUAAUAUUUCAGGUUUCAUAUUUUGGCUUUAAGUUGAUUUAUUUAUACUUGAAAUUAAAAUAAUUUUAAAAUAUAAAAAAAUAUUAUUCAAAACACAACUUUAAGUUGCUUUCAGACUAUAAAACACAACUUAAACUUGCGUUCCGAGUAUUACUUUAUAAAAUAAAAAAACGACAAUCGAAGUCGCGUUUUGACUUAAAUACAAACCGAAGUUUCAAGUGAUAGUUAGCAACAUUUUUAGAGCGAUCUUGACAUAGAGGAUAUUUUCCCUCCUUUAUUUAUGGGGUUAAAUGUCAGAUUGGUCACUAUAGUGAAGGCCAUAUCUCACUUUAGUGACCCGACUUAACGGAGACUCACAUGCACCACUGUAGUAUUGGGUUAUCACAGAAACAUUAACUUUUUUAAUUACCCAGACGAAAAACAAAACGUGGUAGCCAUGACUUGGACAAGAUUGAUUAUGACCAUUUGACUGUCUUACGUGGCUAGAUACAACGGUAACUUGUCUGUGUGUAUAUAUAUCAGCCAGGGUUCUUAACAAAAACUGAAACAAAAAACAUAUCUUCUACAAGUUUGCUAAUAUGAAAACAUCUCCUACACCCAUUACACACUCUGGAACGAACUCUUUUUCUGGGGGGUCGGUGAAGAAGGAGGAGCACAGGACAUGCUUUUGUGGGAGACGAGCUAGAAUCUGCACUUCUUGGACUCUAAAAAAUCCGAGAAUACGGCUCUAUAAAUGUGCAACAUCUAAGGUAGUUUCUUACUUGUUUCUCACUAGUCCUUUUAUACUCUGGAUCACUAUCAUCACUAUAUUUGAACCAUCAAUUACUUCACCAAGAUCAAAAUGGUCUACAUAUAACUUUAUUCGACCAUAAGGCUUACAUAUAUUAAUCAAAUCCCUAACCAAAUUGUCAUCAUAAAUUACUCGCAUACUCUUUUCAAAGCUAUAUCCAUUACACGUAAAAUUGACUAGGGAGGAAGACACAUCAUAUGCAUAUUUUUCAGCAAACUCCUUAAGAUCACGAAAUGAAAAUGUAUCACAAUUGAAAUCUUUAAUUAUCUCAGUUUUGCCACCAACAUACUUAAUAUUAUGAGGAGGUGUAAAAUUACCGUGGUGAUGUAGGUAUAGAGUAGUUGUAGUAGACAUGUUGUAAACAAAUCGAACAUAUAUACAACCAUAUAUCAUAUAUCAAAGCAUUUACGCAAUUAAAGAGCAAAAAAACUAGGGUUUAUAGAUGUAAGAAAGGGGUGCAUACCUUCGAAUGGAGAGAGGUUAGAGCUCGCUUUGUCCACCGGUAUCAAAUUGAUUGCUUGAUUCAAUUACGAUUUAAUCCCCAAAUCGUACUUUUGAACCCUAAUUCGCCCCUAAUCACGACUACACUCGAACAUAAGAUUCUAAUAAUGUUAUUUCACUAAUAUAUUUUGGUAAUACAUUUAGACCCGGCUGAGUUGGACUCCGUAACUGCCACGUUUUAAAAAAAUGAAAGAAACGUUAGUUUAGCGAUGGUUCCCGUCAAGUCAACUAGUCAAACUAAGAUCCGUGUGAUAAUCUGUUACUACAGUGAUACAUGUGAGUUCUCAUUAAGUUGGGUCACUAAAGUGAGAGAUGGCUCUCACUUUAGUGACCAAUAUGAGAUUUAACCCUUUAUUUAUGUGCCACUCAGGUCAACACCCAGCGCGAACACCCCUGGUUUUAGAUAGAAAUCAAAAUCCCAAAAACCCAAUACAUCUCUCUCCGCCUCCGCUAUCCCAGUUUCUCUCUAGGGUUUUUCUCUUUCUAAAACCCUUUCGAUUCUCAGAUAUCUUACAUGGCUACUGGGUGUGCUCCUGCGGAGAGUAUGCAUCUCUACUCAUUUAUGUUUGUUUUCUUGUUGUGUAUAAGCUUUUAUGCUUGUGUAUACACUGUUCUUGAUGUGGGUUAUGUGCAGAUAAUAGAUACAGAUCUUUGUAUGUAUAAUCAUGUGCAAAGGUGGAUUCUUUCUUGUGUGAUCUGUUAGAAUAUAUGUUCUUUCACCUUCAGUUUCGUAGAUUUAUUUUUUGUUUGAUUAUCUUGUUUUGUCUUUUUCUGUUCUUGAUUCUUGUUGAAAAUUAUUGAUUUGUGUGAUGGAUAGUUGUGUAAUUGUUUUGAUUUUUUAAUUGGUGAUCUAGGGGUUUGUGUUUGAUUAAGGGUUUUUAGUUCUGAAUGUUGCACAUAUAGCUUUGUUGUUUUUCACGGUCUUUAUAUGCUGGUUUUGUAGAUGAUUUGCCUCUAAUUGUUAUAGAGGGUUUGUUCGCUUUUGUGCUUGUGUAUGGGUUUAUAGGUGUGGUUUUCGUGAAGGCUUCGCUUUCUUAAAAAAAAUUUGGUGUCCUCAGACAUGCUUCUUAUGCUCGUGAUUUGAAUUUGGAUUACAUGAAGUUGAUUGCUUUUUAAAUAUUUUUUGUUUAUAUACAUGUAAGCUAAAGUGUAGCUUACCUUUUGUGCAACAGAAGCUGCAGAUUUGCUCCAGAAGCUAUCACUGGAUCCUCAAGCUAAGACGGAAAAUUCACAGUCCACUAAGGUGUUUGCAAAUUGUAACAUUAGUGUUAGUACCUGUAGUCACAUAUGUGUUUUUAUCUCUGUGUCUAACCUUGUCUACUUACAGCCUAUUGUAGAUUCAGGUAAUGUGCCGAAUGGUCAGAUCCAAUCAUCUGAUCGGUCUUUGACACCGUUGUUACCUGAUCCCAUGGAUCCAACAAUGUGGUAUGCUAAUGGUUAUGCUCCAUAUUAUUACGGAGGUAAUUCUAUUAUUCUUAAUAUGAACUUUUUCUUAAAUGAUGAAGUGUUUAGAAUGGAAUAAAGCAUUUGCUUUUUUAAUACUUAUAUAAAGCAUUGGUAUACUCUGAAAAUCAGUUAAAAUAAUUUUUUUCUGGACAGGGUAUGAUGGGACUGGUAAUGGGUGGGAUGAUUACUCUAAUUACUUGAAGCCGGAUGGAGUCGAUAUGUCACAUGUAAGAUUUCAGUUCUGUCAUUUCAUAUUCUCUUUUAUUUUUAAGUAUCUUAGAACGUAAGUCUUCCUUUCCAUACCCAUUUUAUCUGCCAUAUCAUAAGAAUAGCCUAAACCGUACAAAGAAUUAUUACUUCUUAACUAACACAGGACAAACUUGUUCUAAUUUUUUGUUUGAUAUUCUAUAUCUCAAUUUUGCAUAUUAUUAGGGGGUGUAUGGUGGUUAUGGUUAUGCACCCUACGGUGCUUAUUCACCUGCGGGUACGCCUGUUCCUACACUUGGCCAUGAUGGUCAGCUUUAUGCAGCUCAACAGUACCAGUACCCGGCCUCUUAUUUUCAGCCUGCAGCUGCCCCUGCAAAAGGUGAUAUUUCAACCGCUGCACCCGCCGACCAACCAAUUUUGUCUAUUGAAACUCCUAAAGGGAAGCCUAAUGGCAUUGCAAAUAGUGGUGGUGUAAAAGGAAACAAAGGUUCAACAGCAUUGAAACCGACAUAUCAGAAUUCAUCUUAUAUUAGCUCAUCAUAUAAUGCAAAUAGCUCCAAUGGAACGGGUGUGUUCCCAGGAGGAGUUCCAGCUUCUGGAUAUGUUUAUGAUGCCUCACGAUCUUCUGUCCCUUGGUUUGAUGGUUCAGUCUACUCCAAUGGAAAGACCGGUCCAUUGAGUAGCACUUCCUUUAACCAAUAUACGUCCAAUGGGAAUGGUGUACCAGUGUCUAAGAAUCAGAAUGCUCGUCCUCAUCACCAGUUCACGGUACGUUACAUGUUUUAAUUACAUGUGAAAAUUAGAAAGUGUUGGGAGUCAUUAAUGUUCUCAAACCCUGAUACAUCUAAUUCUAGUUGAAAAAAGUAAGGAGGGUAACAAAAACUAAAGUAGGCGGAAAUUAUACAAAUUAAAAGUCAAGGCUUCUGCCCUGUGAUGAAUAACUGAUUGCGAUCUUGUUGUGGGGCGUUUUUCAUUUUUACUUUUGCUUAUUUAGGGCAUUGCUAAUGGUUUAUUAGGUGUUUUUUUUAUGUAUAUUAAAGUUUUAAUAGAAAUUUCUGUCUUAUGUGCAAAAUUUGUCAAGCAAAGUUCCUUGGUUUUGGGUUCCCUACGUUUUCAUGUUACUAGUCAUCAUUCCUGUGUUUCUGAACACUAAGAAUUUGUAAUGUCUUCUCUCCAGGGAUAUAACAAUCGAAGACCAUUAUCUGGUCUUAAUUCAGGGAAUGGUUAUGUGAACAGGAUGUAUUCGAACAAGUUCUACAACCAGAAUGGUAUCUCUUACAGAUCUGGUUUUUAUGGGUCUAAUGGUUAUGAUUCCCGGACUAUGGGAAGUGGGUGGUUCUCUGUUGAUAACAAGUACAAACCCAGGGGACGAGGCAAUGGUUGUGCGAAUUACGGAAAUGGGAAUGUUGACGGAUUAAAUGAACUGAACAGGGGCCCAAGAGCAAAGAGCUUCAAGAAUCAAAAAGGUGCUGUUCCUGCUUCUGUAGCUGUAAAGGGACAGGACAACCUUGUCACGGGGACCAAUGGAAGUACUGAGGACAGUAGGGUGGAUAAAGAGAACGGACAAUACAACAGAGCUGAUUUUCCUAUAACAUAUGCUGAUGCCAAGUUUUUCAUUAUAAAGUCUUACAGUGAAGACGAUGUUCAUAAGAGUGUCAAGUACAAUGUGUGGUCAAGUACACAAAAUGGAAACAAGAAGCUUGAUGCAGCGUACCAUGAAGCGCAGCAGAAUUCUGGCCACUGCCCCGUCUUUCUGCUUUUCUCAGUGAGCUCGCUGGAUACAAACUUACUUUUUACUGGAACAUGAAUUGUAUUCAUAUAUUUAUAUCAUUAUUCUUCUUCUGAAAUUUCCAGGUUAAUACUAGUGGACAAUUUGUUGGUGUUGCGGAGAUGUCAGGGCCAGUUGAUUUUGACAAGAUUCUUGAGUAUUGGCAACAAGACAAGUGGGUUGGCUGUUUCCCGGUAAAGUGGCACAUUGUGAAGGAUGUGCCUAACAGUUUGUUGAAGCACAUUACCCUUGAGAACAAUGAGAACAAACCUGUAACCAACAGCAGGGAUACCCAAGAGGUGGGUGGUUUUCGUAGUUCGUUUCUUCAUAUAUCUACUGUGGAAAUCGUACUCAUGGAAAUGAUUAAUGUGUGCAGGUAAAAUUGGAGCAGGGACUUCAAUUGCUCAAAAUAUUUCAGGAUUAUACCAGUGCGCAAUCCGUACUGGAUGAUUUUGAUUUCUACGAGGACCGUCAAAAGAAGAUCCAGGAUAGAAAAGCUAAGCAACAGUUGAUUCAGAAACAGGUAUGACCUACAUAUUUACAUGUAUUUCAUAUUGAUAUCAUUUUUUAAGUCGGUCUUCUCUUAUAAAUUAUUGUUUUGAAAAAAAUAAAAAUUACUCAAUGUCAUGCUCUCGCCUCUUGACUUUGCAUAUGUUGUAUCUGCAGUUGUCGGAAGGAAAGCCUACUGAUGAGUCUGCCAAAGAGGGCUCAAAUGUAGAAGUGACUACUGAGAAGUCGGUAGAUGUUCCUUCAAACUUAACAAAAAAUGCAACCCGGGCUGUUUUCGCUAAAGGGGAUGCAAAUGUGUUGGAAAAUGUUGCAACUGUUGAAGCUCAAGAGGUUAGUAAACCAGUAACAGUGACAGCAAAGGAAUUGGUGUCUAAUGGGGUUGCCAACGGUUGCUAAAUUUGCAAUGCACAGGGAUGGUCAGGCUACAUUACUGAAGUAAUUGCUGAACUUGCUGUUUCUAUAAGAUUACAUUUUGUAGUCUGGUGUCUUUGUAACCUUCUGAUUUUGCAACAUAUACAGUGUGCAAGAAGUCGGUGAAAGUAUGGUUUUUGUGUUGUAGGCAGAUUUAUGAUACAUCGUCAAGACUCAGUACAAGUCUCAUUUCUCUAUUAUUUUCUUUUUUUUUUAUAGAAAAGAUCGUCUUUGUUACAGACCAAUUUGAUUUCAUUUUGGAGUUUCUUUAGUCUCAAUGUGGUGCUGUUGCUUCAAUGACUUCUAUGUUUCAGUUUUUCAUUAAUAAGAGUUAAGAGUUUUUCUAGUCUCAGUGUAUUUUAUAUGGGAGAAGACAAACUUAUGACAAAAAAAAAAUAUAUGGGUGAAGACAAACUGAUAUUAUUAUCUUAAAGAGGAAAUUACAGGAAUGUAGAUGACUUUAUACACACAUCUAAGUAUCAUUGCCUGUAGAAAUUAUGUCAGUCAAUAUAGACUAAAAGUACCACCAUUUUAAGACCCAGAUUAAACACAGAUAGACUGGAGUCACUAUAUGUCUACUUGAAGCCAAAUUCAAGCAAAGCCAUAUAAAAGAUAGUGAAACAUUCAUAGUAGUCUGUUUGAGGGCCAUAUAAUAACUCAACAAGAUUGCAGACAAAAUUUUGAUUAGGAUAGAGUUGCAGAAUAUGAUCAGGUAUCAUGAACCCAGGUGAGAUAAAGAUUGCAGGGUGAGAGGAGACUAAGAGGAGAGAGAAUGGAGUGAGAGGACAGGGGGAUGAAUAUGGUAUUUUAACAAUUUAAUUGCUUUUAUGUUUUAACAUUUAAUAAAUUUGCAAGAUAUAAAAUAAGUUAUUAUAGUUAAAAGUAAAUAUUCCAAAAUCAGUAUAUUUUUUAAAUUCCCUUACUUUUAUAAUUAUUUGUGUUACAUUAACCGUCUUUAAUUUAGUAUGUUAAAUUUAUUAUCUACUCCCUCCGUCCCACCAGGUUCUUUACGUUACUUUUUCGCACGCAUUUUAAUGCUCCUAUAAUGUAUACUUACAUUAUAUAUUUAUUUUUGAAAAAAAUUCCGAAAAAAAGUUUGACGUUUAAACUUUUAUUCAAAAAUUGAAAAAAUUAAAAAUACAUUAUAGAACUAUACUUUACGAGAGUCUCAAAAUGCGUGCAAACAGUGUACGUAAGCUUCGUGCUGGGAGGAGUAUAUUUUUUCAGUGACAACAUCAAACUGCUCAUUUUCAGUCUUCUUUAUCUUUCGAUUUCAAACUAAUCCAUGUCUAAUUAUUUCAAACUCUAACCUAAAAAUAAUUGUAGUAGAUAAAUAUGUCCAUAACAUAUACUCCCUCUGUCCCAUUUAAUUCUAUACGUUUCUUUUUCACUACUCGACACGCACUUCAAUGCUCUUAUAAAACAUAGUUCUACAACUUAUUUUUAAAAUUUUCUUUUUCUGAAUAAAAAUAUAACAUUCAAACUUUUAUACAGAGAAGAAAAAUCUUAAAAACAAGUUAUAGAACUAUAUUUUACGGGAGCAUUAAAGUCCGUGCCGCGUCCCCGUCCCCCAAUGUAUAUAACUCAGGGGGACGGAGGGAGUAAGUAACAAAUACAAUGGCAAAUUUACGGAACAUGCCAAAUAUAAGGGAUAAUCAAUGUUCGAACAUAAUAAUUUUUUAUUUUUUUUUGUCAGGAUCUACAUACUCGUAGAUGAGUUGUAUCAUAGAUACAAUAGCCGCAUCAGGGAUUACUUUCAUCUAAUAAAGUUUAUCAUCUAACCGAAAGAUACGCAAAGAUAUCUCCGGACGUUUAGAUAAUAAGACUUUAAAGUCUGAUAAGAAAACCCGUAAGGUCUCUCUCCAAGAUCCUGAAAAACAAACCAAGCAAAAACAAACAUAAGAAUGAUAAAUUAAAGAAAAAAAUUAUUUUGGGGAAAAUAAACCCAAUUAUGACAUAUAAAUCCUGACAAAAAUAAAUAUAAUAAUAUAACAACUUAUUCAAAAAUAAAAAUUUUAGAACUAAUAAAAAUACGAUACAAAUAUGAAAAGUGAUAAUGUCUAACCAAAGUAAGAAUUUUGGUUAGACACGCAAUAUAAAGAAAUCGUAAUACAUAUUAAUAUUUUCUUGUGGGAACAAAAAUACAUAAACAAAAAUUAAAGUUUUUUGUUAGGAAAAGAGGGAAAUUACAAAUUAAAUCAUAUUUAUAUCCCGAUCAACGUAAAUUAAUUAUUUAAUUAAUUAUCCAAUUAGUCAACAAAAGGGUUAUCAUAACAUCACAAAGUAUAAGAAUUAAUAAAUUCAAAUUAUUAAUCAAAGAACAAAAUUAACCGCAAAAUAUUCAUUCAGGACAAUAGGACGAUAAUCAUGCCAACCAAUAUUGGUCCAAAAAUAUAUGCCACCAAUUAUGGCCACCAAAAUUGGUACAAACUCCUUGAACGUUAUCAAGACCUAAUAAAAGCCAUCAAUUAUGGCACCCAAUAAAUAUUCAUAAAUAUUAAUAAAUUAACAAAUUUAAUAUGCCAAUUAAGCGGAAUAAAUGCACAUAAACACUUACCAAACACACAAUUUUUCAAAAAACAUGAAUGGAAUCAAUUAAUCCCUAAUUUGGGUAAAUAUAAAUCGCAUUUACAUGAAAUUUAAUUCCUUAUGUAUAACUGAAGUAUUUAAUUCUUUCCUACCCAAAAUUAUUGCACACUAACAUAUAUACAUGUACAAUAUAUAAAUUUAUACCAUAAUUAAAAUAAUACAGAUUCAAAUCAUAAAAAUCAAUAAUUUAUUCGUACAUGCAGCUAAAAACAAUUUUGAAAACUAAAAUUUAUAAUGUAGAAGAUCAAAUACACACGAAACACGUCAACAAAUCAAGAACUACGAAGAACACAAAGAACACAUAAAAACUAAAACACACCUCGUUUUCGACUAAUAUUGUGACCGACAACCACAUCAAAGCCGGCUAGGAUAAAUCAAGUUAGAAAAAUAUAGACUUCUUCACUCAACAAAAUUCACAACCUAAUCCGAACAAGUUCCAACGAAGUUACAAAUGAAUUUGUUCACCGAAAAAACCCUAUACAACUUCUAUAUCAGAAGAGAAGAGAAACAAACAUGCAAUAAUGUACAUCUACAAUCAUAAUAAAAGACAAAAGUCAACAAAACAAGCGAAAAACACACAACAAACAUAGGAAAAGACGUACCUUUUAAAGAGACGGAGAGGAUUUGAUUUUAAAAAUAAAAGGAAAGAUAUUACCGAUUUUAAAAUAAAGUCCAAAAAUCACCAUCGAAACGGAAUUGUGACGAGAAAGGAGAUAGGCUAGAGAAUCGAUCGAUUGUUCUAUUGAUCGCCAUCCAACAGAAAAUUAGAAAAAAGUACUCAGCCGAUGACCGUCGUUGACCACCGAUGCGAGAGAGAGUUGUUACCCGGACGUCUUUUUGGGGGACUGAUAUACAAGACGAGAGAUGAGAGGUAUAAAGAAUUCAUAUUGAAAAGGCUAAAAUCUGUAAAAUAAAACUUGCAAACUUUUGUUGGUAAAACAUCAAGCAUUCAUGUAGUGGAUAUUGCAUGACUAGAGCGAUGAGGACCGAGGAGAUGCAAAGAAGCAGAUCCAAUCAGCUCUCCAAUAUUAAUCGCAAGUAGAUACUUAAAUUUAGAUAAAAAAGAGAUUGAAAAACAAUAUGUUAGCGUAAAAAUAUAACUGUGUGAUUUAAGAAAGCGGAUAAAAGAAAGAAGGAUAUACUCGUUCACCAAUUUGAGAUUCGACAUUUUUGCAUUGGCAAAAAUUUAACAUUCCAGAUUAAGUACAUAGCAUUAUUGAUUCAAUUGUUCAACAUAAUAAUUAGAGCAACUUCAACCAUCAGAAAAGAUAAUGCUACGUACCCUAAAAUCUGUUUCCAAAACUUUUUCCCAGACGACGUGGUAGUCAGAUGACUAAUUUUAAUUGUGUGAUUGAUGUGCAUAUAAAAGGGUCUCAUUAUUAUUAGUGUCAGAGAAAUCAAUGAUAUAUUGCCAAUUGGGUUUGAGAAAAAAAUUUAGGAACUUUAACGUACGUUAAAACUGAACCUCAUUAAUUAUAUAACGACUUUCACAUUGUUAUAUUAAUUAAUUAAAAUCUGAUUAUCAAGUUAAAUACGAAUCUGAUUAUUCAGCUGCGAUUAUUUUGUGACGAUUGUAUUCAACCCUCCUUCUAUAAUCAUUUCCGGACAUAACAUUUAAUUAUUGAACUCAAUUAACGAAUAUACUUAUUUAUAAUACGAGCUGUGAUUGGUAUAAAUUUCAUCUAAUUUAAUUAUGGACUUUUUUCAUAAAUACCCAAGUUUAAAAGAAUUUUUGCAAAAAUAUUGUCACUUUUUAAAACAAAUUGCAAGAAUAUUAUGUUUCAAAAACUAUUUGCGAAAAUACUGUGGUUGCAUUUGCAUCUGCAACCAUAUCUGCAACUACUAGCAACCACAAACGCAACUUUGAAAAAUUCUAUUGAAAAUUAUAUUUAAUUACAUAAUGAGUUGCAAGUGACGACCCACUGUCCCUACUGUCCCAGAGGUUUAGGUUCCCCAAGUAUGGUGGAGGGCGACGACCCACACCAUACUUAGAUAUUGAAAAUUAUAUCUAAUUACAUGUUGUGAUUGAGAGAGAGAAGAGAUGUUGUUGUUGUUGUUGUUGUUACGUUAGUUGAUAACGUAUAUUUACAAAUCUAUUACCUUUUCUUUUCAAAAAACAUAAAAUUGCAAUGAUAUGAAGGAGGCUGUAAUUUUGCAAUUAACAUGUUAAAAAAGUGUAUGUUUGAUAAUUUCUCCCUAAUUAUCGAUUAUUGAUAAACACAACUACGGUUAUUUUCGGCUAUAAACUCGAAAAACCAAGUCACAUUAAUGAUAAUCGAACUUAUAUAGAAAAAAUGAUAAUCAAACUCUGACGCUAUAAAUAAUUCAGAAAUUAUAAUCAAAUUUACAAAUCAUAAAAUAAUAUAAAAGUGGUUUUUAAAACAAAAAUAGAAUAAUACUACCUCCGUCCCUUUUUACUUGUCACUUUGACUUUUUGCACGUAACUUAAGGUGAGUAAAAAACAUAAUUCCGCUCAUUAUUUUUAAAAUUUUCUUUUUGUGAAUAAAAAUAUAAACUAUAUAUUUUAAUUUAGAGAAAGAAAAUUUUAAAAAUAAUAAAUAGAAGAACUGAACCUCAUUAAUUAUAUAACGACUUUCACAUUGUUAUAUUAAUUAAUUAAAAUCUGAUUAUCAAGUUAAAUACGAAUCUGAUUAUUCAGCUGCGAUUAUUUUGUGACGAUUGUAUUCAACCCUCCUUCUAUAAUCAUUUCCGGACAUAACAUUUAAUUAUUGAACUCAAUUAACGAAUAUACUUAUUUAUAAUACGAGCUGUGAUUGGUAUAAAUUUCAUCUAAUUUAAUUAUGGACUUUUUUCAUAAAUACCCAAGUUUAAAAGAAUUUUUGCAAAAAUAUUGUCACUUUUUAAAACAAAUUGCAAGAAUAUUAUGUUUCAAAAACUAUUUGCGAAAAUACUGUGGUUGCAUUUGCAUCUGCAACCAUAUCUGCAACUACUAGCAACCACAAACGCAACUUUGAAAAAUUCUAUUGAAAAUUAUAUUUAAUUACAUAAUGAGUUGCAAGUGACGACCCACUGUCCCUACUGUCCCAGAGGUUUAGGUUCCCCAAGUAUGGUGGAGGGCGACGACCCACACCAUACUUAGAUAUUGAAAAUUAUAUCUAAUUACAUGUUGUGAUUGAGAGAGAGAAGAGAUGUUGUUGUUGUUGUUGUUGUUACGUUAGUUGAUAACGUAUAUUUACAAAUCUAUUACCUUUUCUUUUCAAAAAACAUAAAAUUGCAAUGAUAUGAAGGAGGCUGUAAUUUUGCAAUUAACAUGUUAAAAAAGUGUAUGUUUGAUAAUUUCUCCCUAAUUAUCGAUUAUUGAUAAACACAACUACGGUUAUUUUCGGCUAUAAACUCGAAAAACCAAGUCACAUUAAUGAUAAUCGAACUUAUAUAGAAAAAAUGAUAAUCAAACUCUGACGCUAUAAAUAAUUCAGAAAUUAUAAUCAAAUUUACAAAUCAUAAAAUAAUAUAAAAGUGGUUUUUAAAACAAAAAUAGAAUAAUACUACCUCCGUCCCUUUUUACUUGUCACUUUGACUUUUUGCACGUAACUUAAGGUGAGUAAAAAACAUAAUUCCGCUCAUUAUUUUUAAAAUUUUCUUUUUGUGAAUAAAAAUAUAAACUAUAUAUUUUAAUUUAGAGAAAGAAAAUUUUAAAAAUAAUAAAUAGAAGUAUAUUUUUUAAUCAUUCAAAAUGACAAGUGAAAAGGAACGGAAGCAGUAUACCCUUGUUAAAGAUGGUCACAAGAGUCAAUGUAUACGUGUGCUGCGCGGAGUGGACUGUUAUAAGGUAAAAUCGACUAUUACUUAUACCAGUAGAGUAGUUGAAACUUGAAAGCUGUUGCUUCAGUUUGUACUUUGUAGCUGAUCGGAACGAGAAUUAGUUAUUAGGGUUCGAACCGUCACACACACAAAAUCUAUCUAAUUGUAUCAGUCUGAGCUGCACUACAUUCUUGUACAAUCCAAUCGAAUUUUCAGAAGAAGAGCGAGGAUGCAGAAGAAGAUGAAGAAUUCAUGUUUCAUUUCAUCUUUCUUCUUCUUAUCGGUGUUUUAUUUGUUGAUUUUGAUCGAUAGAUCGGCAGCUUCUUCGUCGAUUAAUCUACUAGGAGUCUCUCCACAAGGUGUUUGAUCAAUUGCCUCACUCAGUUUUAUCUUUAUGUAUUUGUGUUAGUGUGAAAUGAUGAUUUAUGUGUUUGUUAUGGUUGUAACAGAUUUGAGUUAUUACUCGGGCUCCUCGUCGGUUAUUAAGUGUAAAGAUGGAUCUAAGAAAAUUAAUAAGUCACAGCUUAAUGAUGAUUUCUGUGAUUGUCCUGCUGAUGGCACUGAUGAGCCAGGUCUUGCCUAUAUUCUGGUUUCUUCUUGAAUUUAUGUAUUUAUUUAUUAUUUAUUGGUGAGUAUGUGUUUGACAAAACGGAAUUUCGUGGUGUCAAACGGAAUUUCGUGGUCUUGUUGUGCAGGAACGUCAGCAUGUCCUAAUGGAAAGUUCUACUGCAAGAAUGCGGGUCAUAUUCCUGUUACUCUGUAUUCUUCUAGAGUCAAUGACGGCAUAUGUGGUAAUGCGUUGCCUCCUUUCAUUUUUUAAUUUCUGUUUUGUCGUCUGUGUGUUUUUCUUUUUUAGUUGGUACUAUAUUAAUAGAAAGCGGAUUUUUUUUAUCUAGAACUGUGUUGUGAUAUAUUUGAAGUAGACACAAUUAAAAUGUCGGAUUUUGUGAGCUAGUAGCGGAAUAAACUACGAAUAGGAUCCCAAAUUCCUUCACUAUUUGUGGUAUAUAUAUACAAUUUACUGAAUUUAGAUUAGUUUGAUAUACUAAAUAUAAAUAAGAUUUAAUAUAUUUUUUCAGCGCUUCAUUGUUGUAUUUGGUUGGGAGAAUAUAGAAUGGAAUGGUGUGAAAUGAGUGAAAAUAAAUGAAAACAGUGGAGGCAGGAGGGAACAUUUGAAAAAAAAACUGAGUGCAUUUAUGAUGAGAUUUCGGAAGAAAACGCGUAUGUGGAUAAUGAAGCAUUCCCUUCUCAAAUUUGAACAUCUGAACUCUAGUUUAGGUUGAUAGGAAUGGAACAUCUACCCAUAAUCUAGUUCGAGUUUCAUUCCAUUCCUUGUAAGUUCACUCACCCCAACCAAACACAAUUAAGGUGUCCACGUGGAGCAUUCCAGACUUACUAUAUGAGUUUUGACACUUAGGUUGCGUUCGUUUGGAUGGAAUGGAAUGGAAAAUUAUAAAGAAGUUUGAGGGAGAAAGAAGCAAGUAUGAGACACUAGUGACUAAAUAUGAGUGAGUCUAAAUUUCUUAUGAUGAAGAUUGUAGGGAAACAUGAUGAAGAAAAUAGUUGGAAUGGAANCAUGUUGGAUAGGUUUCUAGUGCAAAUAGAUGGAAUGGAAUGAUUGAAGGAAUGAAACUUAUAGCCAUUUUCUUUGAUCACCCACAAUUUGGAGUACGGAUUUCAUUCUAUUCUCCCUCCAUUCCAUUCCAUCCAAGUGAACGCAGCCUUACACUUCAAUUUUUUCACCCAUAUUUUAGUCUCCGCAAAAACUUGAAGUAUUUAUGUAAGAUGAUCAUAUCAAAUGAUGAAGUCGAAUGAAGAUUGUGGACUGGCUCAUGCAUUAUUUUAUUGCGCACUGGAUUAAUUGCAAUGCAUUAUACUAUAUGGUUGCAUCUCAUUCCCUUUAAUAUGUUGCCUAAUUCUUUUUCAUGGUUGAAGUGAUUUCUAGUUUCUCUUAUUUUGUUUAAAUCUAUUUUCGCAGUGUAUGACCAUGGGUACCAGCAUAGUCAGAUGAUUUAAUUCCUAUAUUAGUUAAUACAUUAGUUAUUACUGAAUUAUUUAAAUCGUUAAUAUUGUUCCAGAUUGCUGUGAUGGGAGUGAUGAGUAUGAUGGUAAGGUUAUGUGCCCCAAUACUUGUUGGGAAGCUGGAAAAAUGGCUAGGGAUAGAUUAAAGAAGAAGAUCACAACAUAUAGCGAAGGUGUCACUUUAAGGAGAAAGGAAAUUGAACAAUCGAAAUUGGCUGCAGAAAAGGAUGCUGCAGAACUCACAAAACUGAAAAAUGAGGAGAAAAUACUUAAGGGGCUGGUUCAGCAACUUCAGGGUAAUCUCUUUUUAUCCAUAAUGUUCAAAUGUUACUAUUUUGUUUCAAUUGCAGGAUUAGUUUCUUCCAAAUGUUUACCUAAAUUAGACUUUUGGAAGGAAUUAGAAGAUCCCCUGAUGUUAACUGAAAGUACAAAUAUUCAUGUUUUCAUUGAAGUUUAAGUUUUUGAUUCAUGACAUAAACAAGGCAAUCACUGCCGGACAUACUGAACAUAGCUUCUGACACAAAUUUAUUUAAUUUAUUGAAUUAGUUGAAUCAUUUUUGCAAUUGGUGCUGAAGAUCCUAUAGAGGCAUUGUCAGUCUUUUGGUAUAUAUGUUAUUCAGCCUUCAAAUUACGUUCCAUCCAAUUCUGGUUGCAUUCCGAGUAGAAAUCUGUUGUUCCUGCAACAGCCCCAACAUGGUUCCGCACUCUUCUUGCAAAUGUGCAGUCCUGUAGUAAUUAAAAAUGAUUUGUAGGCAGCAUUUCAUAUAGGGCAUCUAGUGUCAGAAGAAUGCUCAAGAACAAAAUCGGUACUCAAAAUGUCUUAUCUAUCUAAUAAACCUUUUAGACUUGCAACAACUUUCCACAUUUCUCCAAUGAUCACACCUUCUAUUGAGCAUGGAUUUUGUCAGUUGUUGCGAGUCCUAAAGGUUUAUUAAGCACUCAAUUAUGAUCCCAGAAUAGACUAGAGUUUCCAUGUCCAACCUGUAGAAGCUUAGCAUUAUCUGCGAUUCCACGCCAUACACUUGACUACCAGAUUUCAGAACAACUAUAUCUACAUCACAUCUUCCGCUACAGUACUUAUCUUGUAGAACACAACUCCAGAGAGAAGCAGGUUCCUUCAACAUCCUCCAUCCUCCAUCCUAGCUUUGUGAGGAUUGCAGUGUUGGCUGGAUGCGCAGAUCUCAGUCCCCAUCCUCCUUGAUUGUGUGGUUUCUGUAUAUGGUAUCGCUUGACAGGAGAUGUACUAUCAUUAUUUUCCUCAUUCCCUCCCUACAUAAAAAUUUUGUUGCUCUUUUGUCAGUUCCAUUUCUACUUGAUCGAGGAAUUUUUGCAUAGUGCAUUGAAUAAUAGGCCAUUGAGAUAGUUGAUUUUAAUGUUGUGAUACGACCUGCCAUUUAAAGAUGUCUUCCAUCUUGCUAAGCUUCUAUCAAUCUUUUCAGAAAGGUAACAAAAUGUUUCUCUCAUCACUUGACUCAUCAAGGUAGGCAUUUCCAAGCUUAGUUCUAGUCUUCAGUUGAUUACAUUCCCAACUUAUUGCUUAUAUCUUCCCUAAAUAUGAUAUUUAGUUGAGACUGACUUACUUUGCCCUGAGGCCUUACAAAAUCUAGUCAAGCAUUCCGGAUUAAUGUUGCUUGCUUUAUAAGUACUUCUGCAUAUCAUCUGCAAAGAAAGGUGACCCUCCCGGAAUUGCCUAUUCUCUUACUUCAUUUAUCCUCUCCGUGAAAGAUAAGGGUAAAGAGGAUCUCCUUGCCAAAUCCCCCUUGUUGGAGUGAAAGAUUCUGUAGGCCCACCAAGGAACACUCAUUGAUAAUAAGGUAACACAUUCCCUGAUGACACCUAUUAAAAGUCGAGGUAAAUUGAUCUGCAUUAAUGUAAAGACCAUCUUAAUCGAUCAUAAGCCUUCUCAAAGUCAAUCAAGCUCCACAUCUGUGGAUGUUGUAUCAUGCUUCUUGUUUUCUCCAUCUUUGCCCCAGCUCCACAUCGAAGCGGUAAUCCUUAUGUGCAUUGAUGAUUAUUAGAUAUUAUUAUCAUAUCGAGAAAUAUGAAUAAUUUGGUUAUUCUGUAGUACUUAUAUAUAUUGGCAUCAAAUACAUGGGAAUUUCUUACUUGGGUGAAAUAAAUUCUACAAUACAAACUACUGAGGCUGUACUUAUAUACCUAAUACCUGUGAACUUUGACAUUGCGUUAAGCACACAAAGAUGAAGAUAUUGAUAUUAUAAUGCGAUGCUGAACUUGUGGUUGCUAACAAAUUUUAAAUUUCCAUUUAGACCGCAAAGAGCAAAUAGAGAAGGCAGAAGAGAAAGAACGUUUGCAAAAGGAAAAUGAACGCUUGCAAAAAGAGAAAGAAGAGAAGGAGAAGAAAGAUUUGGAAGAUAAAGAAAGUGAUAACAAUGCUCCGGACACGGGUAACACUGGAGGAGUCACUACGGAAAGUACAGAUGAUGACCAUAUUGGACUAGUGGAAGAUUCUCCUCCAUUGGAGGUCAGUAAUUUUUGUUUUAAUGGUAUAACUAGGGUAACUAGUAUUCAUAUAUGCAUAUUCGUUGUUUAAUAUUGCAAAGUAGACAUGUCACCAGCAACAGGUUAUGUUGACCUAGCAGCAGACCCUUUGCCAGUAAAUAUAUUUUUUAGGGUAGGGCAUUUCCUAUUUUUAUAGGAACUUCUGUACCAGAAACAAUGGUAUCUCCAAUUGCGCUUAGAUAUUGAUUUAAUUCUCUGCCAUCUAGCACUCGUUUUAUAUAAGCUAAUAACUUAAACAUAUUAUACUAAAGAGCAUCAACUUAUAUAGCAAAGAGCAAUUAAAGCUCUAAAAGCUUCUGUUGGCUACUCUAGCACUUGAGUUGAAGCCGUGGAGUACAAAAGUUGUGUUAGCUUGAUCCUUUAAUUUUUAAUUAACAAAUUCUACUCUCUUUUUUUUCUUUCUGGUAAUAAAAUAGUUGUCAUUGCCUGAAAGACUCCACAGUACUUAGUAUAAUUCAAAUAUGCAUAGAACCAAGUUUGGCGUGAUUCAUUCAAAAUCUUAGAUCAACCAGAGCUUGUCAACCCAAAAUUCUGCUUUGCUCAUUUGCAGCCAACCUAAACCUUACCAAUGGUUAACAUGAGAGAUUUCAAUUCAAAUUGGGAACAAGAAGAGUUGCAAUAGGGGGCUGCCAAGUGAUAGGCCUUGAGACUGAGGUCCAAAUGAGCUUGCUGCUUUCAGUGAUUAUACUGCCUAAUCAUGAUACCUCACUACAAUUUAUGAUAAAUCCUGUGAUUUAACAGCUUAGAAAGACAAAAAAAUAAAUAAAAUACUUGCUUCAGUAGCCCUGCAUCUUCGACAUUUUAGAAUUUUUUGUUAUCUGCAUACAAACGAUUUGUAAUCCAUCGAGUAUAGAUGUAUGAUUUGAUUCCUUCUUACAUUUUAGCUCGCCCGCAAGGCCCAGCCUGUCAAAAGCCAUACAUACGUUGUGAUGUAGGACAAGAGUGUUGUGAAUCAAUUUAGUAAUUUACCAUGCUUCAGCAGCAGAGACAAAGCUAUAAGUUAUGUCAUAUGUGUAAAUUAUGUAUAUGCAACAUAUUCAGAUGAAAAUUAUCGUGCUUCUUUAAGACAUUAACUUGCCAAGUAGUGAGUAUUAGAACGGUGGUUUUUUUGGUGCUAAAUAUCAUUCACCACAGCGACCCUAUUACCUAGCCAAUGCUCACAAGGGCAAAUAAAUUAAUUAGAACUCCACAGGUAACCACGAAACCUCCUACAUUAAUGACAUAUGCGAGAUGCAAGUAAACGGGUGACCAGGGAAAUGCACAUGACAGGGGUAAUGAGGACAAUUCAGUUAGCCUUGGAUUUGGUGAAAGGUAGUGGAGAGCAUUGUUAUUGAGUCGUCGACUAGUCGCCCAGUCGGUUGAUAGAAAAAGUCGUUGAGCGACUUGAAAGAAAAGUCGACCCGUGGGUCAAAUCCGACCCGACCCGAUCCAAACUAGGUUAAACCCGACCCGAUUACAAUUUUUAAGCUACACUUAUCGUAAAUCUAUCAUUCGCUGCUGGAAACAUCUGCUGCAAACAUUUGGAAACAUCUGGCAGCAACUAGUCUCCAGGGGAGGAACUAGGGGGGAACUAUUGGGUAAACAAAUUUUAUUAAUUUUGUUAAAUAUAUAUCUAAUCUAACCCAUAUUAUUUUUGAUGUAUUAUAUAUAAUUAUUUAUUAGCUAAUAAAACAAACAUAACAUGUAAAUUGUAAAUUGUAAAGUAAGAUAGCAGGGAGGGGGGGGGGAACGACUAACACAUUAAGAAAAAACAUAACACUGACUUGUCUGCUUU
rnacentral:lncRNA from 1 species